rfam:Fomitopsis pinicola FP-58527 SS1 unplaced genomic scaffold FOMPIscaffold_28, whole genome shotgun sequence.
GGCUCUGUAGUGUAGCGGUUAUCACGGCGGAUUCUGAAAUCACUUGCUACUACCAAGGAUCGGGUGUUAUGAUUCCGUCAACCCAGGUUCGAGCCCUGGCAGGGCCU